rnacentral:lncRNA from 10 species
GCCACCUUCCCCCCACCCCCGCGUUGUUUAUUUAUUUAUUUAUUUUUUCUAGCCACCACCAUUUUGUUGCCUGGCAGAGGUGUGAGAUGCAAGGCUGUUUACAAAGCCCCCAGCAAGAGCAAUCCCAUCAUCAGGAGGUUUGCUUCCCCCCCGGGCCAGCCCUCUCGCUCUCCAUGCCCGUCUUGGCUGCAUGCGUUGUACCUAACACAUUUAACCCGCGUUUCUUAAGAGUUCUGCAAAAUGGUGUCUGCUGGUGUUUGCAAGGGAAGCUCCCGCUGGGCGUCCCGAGCUGGGUGGGAGCUGAGUGUGCGGUUCCCUAACGAGCUGGCGGCCGGCCUGAGCGGCUCUGAUCUCCAAUUCUGACGGCUUGUCCUUCAGGUGACCUAUAUUAUCUGGCACCUCA